rnacentral:rRNA from 1 species
AUUGAACGCUGGCGGCAGGCCUAACACAUGCAAGUCGAACGAGUGGCGGACGGGUGAGCAAUGUCUGGGAAACUGCCCGAUGGAGGGGGAUAACUACUGGAAACGGUAGCUAAUACCGCAUACCAUCGGAUGUGCCCAGAUGGGUUUGGCUAGUAGGUGGGGUAACGGCUCACCUGGGCGACGAUCCCUAGCUGGUCUGAGAGGAUGACCAGCCACACUGGAACUGAGACACGGGCCAGACUCCUACGGGAGGCAGCAGGGGGGAAUAUUGCACAAUGGGCGAAAGCCUGAUGCAGCCAGGCCGCGUGUAUGAAGAAGGCCUUCGGGUUGUAAAGUACUUUCAGCGGGGAGGCGUUACCCGCAGAAGAAGCACCGGCUAACUCCGUGCCAGCAGCCGCGGUAAUAC